rnacentral:rRNA from 1 species
UGGGGAAUAUUGCACAAUGGGCGAAAGCCUGAUGCAGCAACGCCGCGUGAGUGAUGACGGCCUUCGGGUUGUAAAGCUCUGUCUUUGGGGACGAUAAUGACGGUACCCAAGGAGGAAGCCACGGCUAACUACGUGCCAGCAGCCGCGGUAAUACGUAGGUGGCAAGCGUUGUCCUGAUUUACUGGGCGUAAAGGGUGCGUAGGCGGACCUUUAAGUGAGAUGUGAAAUCCCCGAGCUUAACUUGGAGGCUGCAUUUCAAACUGGAGGUCUAGAGUGCAGGAGAGGAGAGUGGAGUUCCUAGUGUAGCGGUGAAAUGCGUAGAGAUUAGGAAGAACACCAGCGGCGAAGGCGACUCUCUGGACUGUAACUGACGCUGAGGCACGAAAUCGUGGGGAGCAAACAG